GAUGAACGCUGGCGGCGUGCCUAAUACAUGCAAGUCGAGCGAACGGACGAGAAGCUUGCUUCUCUGAUGUUAGCGGCGGACGGGUGAGUAACACGUGGAUAACCUACCUAUAAGACUGGGAUAACUUCGGGAAACCGGAGCUAAUACCGGAUAAUAUUUUGAACCGCAUGGUUCAAAAGUAAAAGACGGUCUUGCUGUCACUUAUAGAUGGAUCCGCGCUGCAUUAGCUAGUUGGUAAGGUAACGGCUUACCAAGGCAACGAUGCAUAGCCGACCUGAGAGGGUGAUCGGCCACACUGGAACUGAGACACGGUCCAGACUCCUACGGGAGGCAGCAGUAGGGAAUCUUCCGCAAUGGGCGAAAGCCUGACGGAGCAACGCCGCGUGAGUGAUGAAGGUCUUCGGAUCGUAAAACUCUGUUAUUAGGGAAGAAUAUAUGUGUAAGUAACUGUGCACAUCUUGACGGUACCUAAUCAGAAAGCCACGGCUAACUACGUGCCAGCAGCCGCGGUAAUACGUAGGUGGCAAGCGUUAUCCGGAAUUAUUGGGCGUAAAGCGCGCGUAGGCGGUUUUUUAAGUCUGAUGUGAAAGCCCACGGCUCAACCGUGGAGGGUCAUUGGAAACUGGAAAACUUGAGUGCAGAAGAGGAAAGUGGAAUUCCAUGUGUAGCGGUGAAAUGCGCAGAGAUAUGGAGGAACACCAGUGGCGAAGGCGACUUUCUGGUCUGUAACUGACGCUGAUGUGCGAAAGCGUGGGGAUCAAACAGGAUUAGAUACCCUGGUAGUCCACGCCGUAAACGAUGAGUGCUAAGUGUUAGGGGGUUUCCGCCCCUUAGUGCUGCAGCUAACGCAUUAAGCACUCCGCCUGGGGAGUACGACCGCAAGGUUGAAACUCAAAGGAAUUGACGGGGACCCGCACAAGCGGUGGAGCAUGUGGUUUAAUUCGAAGCAACGCGAAGAACCUUACCAAAUCUUGACAUCCUUUGACAACUCUAGAGAUAGAGCCUUCCCCUUCGGGGGACAAAGUGACAGGUGGUGCAUGGUUGUCGUCAGCUCGUGUCGUGAGAUGUUGGGUUAAGCCCCGCAACGAGCGCAACCCUUAAGCUUAGUUGCCAUCAUUAAGUUGGGCACUCUAAGUUGACUGCCGGUGACAAACCGGAGGAAGGUGGGGAUGACGUCAAAUCAUCAUGCCCCUUAUGAUUUGGGCUACACACGUGCUACAAUGGACAAUACAAAGGGCAGCGAAACCGCGAGGUCAAGCAAAUCCCAUAAAGUUGUUCUCAGUUCGGAUUGUAGUCUGCAACUCGACUACAUGAAGCUGGAAUCGCUAGUAAUCGUAGAUCAGCAUGCUACGGUGAAUACGUUCCCGGGUCU
rnacentral:rRNA from 1 species